UCCUGGAUCGUCACACUGCCCGUUUUGUCGAACUCUUCAAAUCUAAGCAUGGAGUUGUUGGCGAGAGGCUCCAAGAACUCGUGGGACAAACGGACCUAAACGAAACAAGAUGUGGUGGCUCUAUGCACACUAAUACUCCGCGGUCUCCCAAUCCUUCUUGGUGAUGCCCCCACAGACUUUUACAACACCUGCUUGGAUUCUGAUGGUGACGACGUGUUGGCCAACGUCUCCUUUGGGACUUUGACUGUCAUUGAAGACGAUGGCAUACCACCCGGACCCAACCUCCUCUACCUGGAGUCAGUGUCAACUGGAAUUAUCAGUGAGGGAAGUAUUGUGAUGGAUGACCUGAAAACAUUGC